rnacentral:misc_RNA from 1 species
UCUCCGUAGGUGAACCUGCGGAGGGAUCAUUACCAAGUACAACCCGUCUCCGGACGGGCUGCUACCAACCCUUUGUUGUCCGACCGCGUUGCCUCCGGGGCGACCCUGACCUUCGGGUUUUGGGGGACCCCGGGUGGACACCUAAACUCUGCGUAACUUUGCAGUCUGAGUAAUAGAUUAAAUCAAUCAAAACUUUCAACAACGGAUCUCUUGGUUCUG